GUUCAGUGGGAAUAUUUUAUUCGAGUUGUAUAAACACAAGGAGACGGAUCAGUUCUUUGUGAGGGUCUUGUACUGUGGUGAGCCGAAAAAGAUUGGAUAUCAGGCCAGGAUACUACUUCCUCUAGACGAAUUCAGGAGAAUUAUUCAUCCGUUUUUGAUCAUGCCAGGUCAGUUCAAUCAGGUCUGUGCUCUUCAAAAUUUUGCUUGAACAACUUUUACUGGAAUCACGUUUUUUACUACGGAGGAAAAAGUAGCACUACGGCGAAACAAGACCACACAUCACGGCAAUAUCAGCAAGAUGAAUAAACAAUUUAAACUACGGGAAGAUCUGAUGAGAGUACAGCUUUUUGUAAAAUUGGAUACAAUUGCCAUGUUUGUGGAGACAUGGAAAACAUACUCACAAGCAUUUUUUCUUUUAUAGUUGAAUAUUUUGAAAAAAUGUCGUUUUGAGAAAGUGGGACAUGGUCAUGUUGAAAGUGAAUUCGAAUAGAGUAAAAUAAUUGAGAUAGAAGUGGAUGCUAAAUUAACAUUACUAAUGUGUGAAUAUUGUCAUUAAAAUUA